rnacentral:sRNA from 1 species
AUUUAUUUUAGUUAUUUUUUAUUUAAUUAGUAUAGCAUCCUCUGGUUUACCAGUCAUAAAACUCCCGCAAACUCACCCAUUAUCAAACGCUCAACCAGUCGUUUAAAACGCUUGAUAACGCUUGAAACUGCAACCGCCCGUUUUCACAAACUCCCGUAACCGCAACCGCACCCGCUACGUUUAAACAAGUCAGGCCCUCAUGCUUAGAAACCACCAUUGAGGAUGCUCUUAAUGUUAUUCAAUUAUGAUUGGUUCUCCCGCUACCACCCGCAAACGCAUGCUUAGAAACCAUCAUUGAGGAUGCUCUUAGUGUUAUUCAAUUAUGAUUGGUUCUCCCUCUACCAUCCGCAAACGCAGCGUUUGCGGGUGGUAGCGGUUGUUAGCAAUUGGCAACAAUCAUACAAAUCGCAGGAAACUGCUUUUCACCGCUCGAAAUCGCCACAUUUCAAAAGCUCCUUCCCGCAAGCGUUUGCGGUAGUAGUUAGAUUCAAAUGUUAAAAAUAAAAUAAAAAAUCAACAUUACUUGUAACUAAGAUAAUAUAUUUUUAAUCCUAUAU